rnacentral:snoRNA from 1 species
CCCUUCCAGAGUCUUCACCCAUCAGAUCUAAACAUUUGUCUGAAUGGCAUCAAAGGAGGUAAUGUAAAACGGAAAUGAACUUGGAUUCUUUUGUAACAUAUAAGUUGGUUUCAUAAAAAG